rnacentral:rRNA from 1 species
ACGGGAGGCAGCAGUGAGGAAUAUUGGUCAAUGGGCGGAAGCCUGAACCAGCCAUGCCGCGUGAAGGAAUAAGGCCCUAUGGUCGUAAACUUCUUUUGAGCGGGAGCAAUAAGGCGCACGUGUGCGCCGAUGAGAGUACCGUUCGAAUAAGCAUCGGCUAACUCCGUGCCAGCAGCCGCGGUAAUACGGAGGAUGCAAGCGUUAUCCGGAUUUAUUGGGUUUAAAGGGUGCGUAGGCGGACUGGCAAGUCAGGGGUGAAAGCCCGGUGCUCAACACCGGAACUGCCCUUGAUACUGUCGGCCUUGAAUUCGGAUGCCGUGGGAGGAAUGAGUAGUGUAGCGGUGAAAUGCAUAGAUAUUACUCAGAACACCGAUUGCGAAGGCAUCUCACGAAUCCGACAUUGACGCUGAGGCACGAAAGCGUGGGGAUCGAACAGGAUUAGAUACCCUGGUA